rnacentral:rRNA from 1 species
UACGGGGGGGGCAAGCGUUGUUCGGAAUUACUGGGCGUAAAGGGUUCGUAGGUGGCCAACUAAGUCAGACGUGAAAUCCCUCAGCUUAACUGGGGAACUGCGUCUGAUACUGGUUGGCUUGAGUGCAGGAGAGGAACGCGGAAUUCCAGGUGUAGCGGUGAAAUGCGUAGAUAUGCGGAGGAACACCGAUGGCGAAGGCAAUCCCCUGGGCCUGUACUGACGCUCAUGCACGAAAGCGUGGGGAGCAAACAGG